rnacentral:lncRNA from 10 species
AGUGGACUCGGGUUAUAAUUACCAACAGAGGAGAGAAUAACUAUAAGUUAUUUUGAUGUAAAAAGCAUAUUAUCCUAAGCCAACAUAAUAACACAGUUUUUAUGAAGCACAAUAAUUACUUUGAAGACUCACAGAAGUGCAUUUUUCUAAAAGAAGGAGGUUCUCAUACAGAAACAGAUUAACAGAAACAGAAACAGCAACACUAGAGAACAGCAAAAUAGUAACAUUUCAAAUAGUAACAUUUCAAGAAAAUAUAUACACCUUCACAGUAUGUGGUGGUAUCCACUUACUGUCUACUGCCUCCAUAACUCCUAAAGUCUUCUGAAGGUUUAUUAAUGCUUUGAAUAUAUGAGCCACCGUUUCUUUUCACAGCCUUUUCACAACUGGGAAUUCUUUAGAGAAAGGCAAUCUUACCUCAUUUACUUACUUCAUCAGUAAUGCCAUUACUAUGCCUACCUAAGAAGAAAAUAUAUCAUGUGGCAGAGGACUAGAAAGAAAAAACAACAACAAAAGGCUGUGAAGAUUUGAUCAUAUGCCUACGUGUGUGGUGAAUACAAUAUUUCUUUAAUCGCAAUCAGGAAUAUAAAUCUUAUUUUGAUGCUAUGACAUAAUAAAGUGCAUUAUUUUCCUGAAAU